rnacentral:rRNA from 1 species
AUUGAACGCUAGCGGCAUGCUUUACACAUGCAAGUCGAACGGCAGCACGGGUGCUUGCACCUGGUGGCGAGUGGCGAACGGGUGAGUAAUGUAUCGGAACGUACCCGGCAAUGGGGGAUAACGUAGCGAAAGUUACGCUAAUACCGCAUAUGCCCUGAGGGGGAAAGUGGGGGAUCGCAAGACCUCACGUUGUCGGAGCGGCCGAUAUCAGAUUAGCUAGUUGGUGGGGUAAAGGCCUACCAAGGCGACGAUCUGUAGCUGGUCUGAGAGGACGACCAGCCACACUGGGACUGAGACACGGCCCAGACUCCUACGGGAGGCAGCAGUGGGGAAUUUUGGACAAUGGGGGCAACCCUGAUCCAGCCAUGCCGCGUGAGUGAAGAAGGCCUUCGGGUUGUAAAGCUCUUUCGGACAGAAAGAAAUCGCCACUUCUAAUAAAGGUGGUGGAUGACGGUACUGUAAGAAGAAGCACCGGCUAACUACGUGCCAGCCGCCGCGGUAA